UGAACGCUGGCGGCGUGCUUAACACAUGCAAGUCGAACGAAGCAUUUAAGACAGAUUACUUCGGUUUGAAGUCUUUUAUGACUGAGUGGCGGACGGGUGAGUAACGCGUGGGUAACCUGCCUCAUACAGGGGGAUAGCAGCUGGAAACGGCUGGUAAUACCGCAUAAGCGCACAGUACCACAUGGUACAGUGUGAAAAACUCCGGUGGUAUGAGAUGGACCCGCGUCUGAUUAGCUUGUUGGCGGGGUAACGGCCCACCAAGGCGACGAUCAGUAGCCGACCUGAGAGGGUGACCGGCCACAUUGGGACUGAGACACGGCCCAGACUCCUACGGGAGGCAGCAGUGGGGAAUAUUGCACAAUGGAGGAAACUCUGAUGCAGCGACGCCGCGUGAGUGAAGAAGUAGUUCGCUAUGUAAAGCUCUAUCAGCAGGGAAGAUAGUGACGGUACCUGACGAAGAAGCUCCGGCUAAAUACGUG
rnacentral:rRNA from 1 species